rnacentral:rRNA from 1 species
AACGAACGCUGGCGGCAGGCUUAACACAUGCAAGUCGAACGCCCCGCAAGGGGAGUGGCAGACGGGUGAGUAACGCGUGGGAAUCUACCUAGUUCUACGGAACAACAGUUGGAAACGACUGCUAAUACCGUAUACGCCCUACGGGGGAAAGAUUUAUCGGAAUUAGAUGAGCCCGCGUAAGAUUAGCUAGUUGGUGGGGUAAUGGCCUACCAAGGCGACGAUCUUUAGCUGGUCUGAGAGGAUGAUCAGCCACACUGGGACUGAGACACGGCCCAGACUCCUACGGGAGGCAGCAGUGGGGAAUAUUGGACAAUGGGCGCAAGCCUGAUCCAGCCAUGCCGCGUGAGUGAUGAAGGCCUUAGGGUUGUAAAGCUCUUUCACCGAUGAAGAUAAUGACGGUAGUCGGAGAAGAAGCCCCGGCUAACUUCGUGCCAGCCGCCGCCGUAAAAC